rnacentral:lncRNA from 1 species
CGGCGCACGGGGCUCACAUUCCACGCACCAGACAGUUAAAAAUUUGGACAUAAGUUUAAACUUAACCAUUUGGAGUCCUUCAAGGGACAGGAAAUCCACCCCAUGUGGCCAGGGAGGGACUCGAAGCAAGAGGAACCUGCCUGAGGCUGAAUGGCAAGGAGGAAGUGCCCCUGUGGAGAGAACCUUCCAGAAUUCCAAGUACAAAGGCCUUCAGUAACCAGGUAAUAGGCAAUCCAAGACAGGAAGAAGGAGCUGAAAUUCAACAGACUGAAGUCCGCACUGUGGCUUGAAAAAUGGGAAAUCCAGGAGAGAAAGAGGGAGCGCGGAAGGAGGCAGAUGUGAAGUGAAGGCUGACACGGAGAAGUCAUUUCGUGGAAGGUUAGGGUCAUUAGCAAAGGGAAAAUGAUUAGCAGGGAAGUUCUCAAAAUCACAGAGACUUUCUAAAGGAGAAGCAGCGGCGGUGUCGAGCCUGAGAGUAAUAAAAGAGAUUUAGUGCGUGU